AUUGAACGCUGGCGGCAUGCCUUACACAUGCAAGUCGAACGGUAACGGGCCUUCGGGUGCCGACGAGUGGCGAACGGGUGAGUAGUGCAUCGGAACGUACCUUUCAGUGGGGGAUAACGUAGCGAAAGUUACGCUAAUACCGCAUAUUCUGUGAGCAGGAAAGCAGGGGAUCGCAAGACCUUGCGCUGAUUGAGCGGCCGAUGUCAGAUUAGCUAGUUGGUGAGGUAAAGGCUCACCAAGGCGACGAUCUGUAGCGGGUCUGAGAGGAUGAUCCGCCACACUGGGACUGAGACACGGCCCAGACUCCUACGGGAGGCAGCAGUGGGGAAUUUUGGACAAUGGGCGCAAGCCUGAUCCAGCCAUGCCGCGUGAGUGAAGAAGGCC
rnacentral:rRNA from 1 species